GUCGGGGUGAAGGCUGCUGACGUUUCCAGGCUGCCCCGGGCUCCAUUUUCAGCCGCCGAGCGGGGCGGGCCGGUUCCUCACGGGCGGCGGCGUCGGUUGGGUGGAGAAGGGCGGUUGGCCGGGCGGCUCCAGGCAGGGCCUGUGGGCACGCGGGGAGCGUUUCGUGUUGUCCUGAUGCGGUUUGGGAGCAUGAGGACUGUAGACAUUUCGAUGCUGCCUUCAGCUCCAUCUUCAGGCCUGCGGUUGGGUGGGCCCCCGCACCCCGCGGGCCCCAAGACUGGGGCUCCUCACUGGUGUCAGUUGGGCCGAGAAGAGGGGGUUGGCCUUUAGAAGGAAAGCUUGGGAGGUUAAAUAAGCUCUCCUCACGGGGAGCGGCUGGCCGCCAGGCCUCCUGCUCUGGGUUAGCGCCCUGGUUGCAUUGGUCCCUUCACGCUGUGGUAUCCUGGCCCGCCGACCCCGCUGUUCCCUUGCCCCCGAGCCCGGCCUCCGGCUCCCGCGUCCUGCGGAAGCGCUGUUUGACCGGCGUUCCCGUUCUCUUAGGGGUGCCCCAUGAGCUCCCUGGGGAAGGCUUGCCCAGCUCUGGCCGCGCUCUGGCCCUGUGGGGUCCGGCUGCCACUUUGACCUCUGCCCUCACCUACCUAGGGCCACUUGGGGGCCCUGGGUAACCCCUCAAGAGUGGGGAGGGUCAUUUCUCCAUCCAUUCAGUUGCUACUUUCCUCUUGGUUUUUAAUUUAAUUUUUAAAUUCAUUUCUUAUUUUUAAAGGUUUUUUUAAUUGCACCAUCCCCACCCCACCUCCUUUAUUUUUUAUCAUCUUUCUCUCCCCUCAAACCUGGAUCUUUUGCUUUGCCAUACCCAGUGGCUCUGAAGCGAGUGAAAUAGGAUACAUUUCUCCGACUCAGGGAGAGGCAGAGGCAAGGAAUUGAUUUCAAGAUGUAUAAUAAUAAUAAUACUGAACAUAAGCUAAAUGUGGAAGCCAUGAUUAAAAACAUUAACACAAUUUCUUUGGAGUUAAAGAAAAUGAAAGAGUUCCACCACAUGCAGAUGUCUGCAGCAGCCACCACCAAGGGGAAUGGGACUGCCAAGACCAGUCUGGACCAGUCAGCACUUACUCCUGGAGCUGGGGAGAAGACCACUUCAGACGCAAUCAAGUUGUGCCCCAAGGAAGAAGGGAGUGACUGUUAGGCACUAAAUAAGCUCUCCCAGUUACGGCUUUGUGACCUUACCCUACAUUUCAGUCGUCCUAUGAAGACAGAUGACUUAAAGGACGCAGAAAGAGACAGCCCCCUCUCUGAAGAGUCUAAGACGUCAGAUGUAUCCCUUGCUUCUAACAGUUUUUAAAUCUGACUUUUAUUUGUUGUGGAUUUGUAACUUUUAUUUUUGAAUUAACUCCUAUCUAGGAGAAUUGAGUUUACUCAUAUAUUUAAUAUAAUAAAAAAAUAAAAAUAUGUUGAGUUAUAAAUAAUCAUUU